UACGUAGGGGGCAAGCGUUGUCCGGAAUCAUUGGGCGUAAAGAGCGUGUAGGCGGUUCGGUAAGUCGGCUGUGAAAGUCCAGGGCUCAACCCUGGGAUGCCGGUCGAUACUGCCGGACUAGAGUUCGGAAGAGGCGAGUGGAAUUCCCGGUGUAGCGGUGAAAUGCGUAGAUAUCUGGAGGAACACCGGUGGCGAAGGCGGCAUCCUGGACCAACACUGACGCUGAGUGAGCGAAAGCCAGGGGAGCAAACGGG
rnacentral:rRNA from 1 species